UGCUCUCAUAGGCCAAAGUCAAGGUGCCAGUGGGCCGUGCUCUUGUCUGGGGCUCGAGGAAAGAACAUGCUUCAGGCUCACUGGGGGCUAGAGGACUUCUCCCUGUGGCUGAGGGACAGAGGCCCCACUCCCCUGUGGGCUGUCAGCUCAAGGCUGGCUGCAUCCGCCUUCUCAAAGCCAGCAAGGGCACCCUGAGUCCUCCUCACGCCGAGUCCUCUCUGCCACCCUCUUCCGCCUGCAUCCAGAGGACGCUCUCUGCUGUCAGGGCUCCCCCAGAAACCAGGAUAACCUCCCUCGUUUAAGGCCAACUGUCCAGAGAACAAUGUGCCUCAGGGCGGCCUCUCAUCACACUCAAGCUUCUGGGGGUGCCGAGGACGGCCAGGUGAGCAGCAGAGGACGAUGACAGGAAUUCUGAGUCCGCCUCAGUGAACAAAGCGGCGUGUGGCACACGGUCAUGCCACGAGCCUGAGAGCAGAUUGCAAAGCAAAGCGUGUAGUGCAAUCCAACUUUUGGAAAGAAAAAUAAAUCCUUUAUAUAUGACGGUGUAAUAAAGAAUUGAACCUUGCCCAGAGAGACCUGGCCUCUUCCCCCAGCUUCUGAGAGGUGGUCUCUAAGCCACAUGGGACGGUCUUGGUUUGCCUGGGCCUUUGGACCACACCAGGAGGCCUAAAGUGUGAUUCAGGUAGGGGUUGCGAUGAGCUCACCCUCGAGUGAGCUGGAGACCUCCAUCCGCAUGGGCAGUCAACCAUGGGGCCCCAGCAAAGGCUCUGGGACACUAAGCUCGGGGGAUCCCACCUGGAUGCCCCAAGUGACACUGCCCACAGCUCUGUGGGGAAGGACCCUCUGCAGGUGGGAACUUCCUGGACUCCGGCCUGAGCGCCUUUCCCUGGGUUGAUAGUCAUCUGUGUCCUACCCUUGUGCUAAGUCAUGACCAUGAGUAUAUCAGCUUUCAGUGAGUUUUUCUAGCGAAUUAUCAAAACUGAGGGUGGUCUUGGAGACCCCUACCCUUGUAACUGGUGAAGAAUUGAGGACAGUUUUGUAGAUUAUGGUUCCCUCUAGCCCUGCAAUGAUGUUGACUGUAAGUACAUUAAAGUAUUUGUUAGACACUGGAAAACGAUAUGCAAAAUGUAGGAAGUGGAUGCCUC
rnacentral:lncRNA from 1 species